rnacentral:rRNA from 1 species
GACGAACGCUGGCGGCGUGCUUAACACAUGCAAGUCGAACGGUAAGGCCCUUCGGGGUACACGAGUGGCGAACGGGUGAGUAACACGUGGGUGAUCUGCCCUGCACUUCGGGAUAAGCCUGGGAAACUGGGUCUAAUACCGGAUAGGACCACUGCCUGCAUGGGUGGUGGUGGAAAGCUUUUGCGGUGUGGGAUGGGCCCGCGGCCUAUCAGCUUGUUGGUGGGGUGAUGGCCUACCAAGGCGACGACGGGUAGCCGGCCUGAGAGGGUGACCGGCCACACUGGGACUGAGUUACGGCCCAGACUCCUACGGGAGGCAGCAGUGGGGAAUAUUGCACAGUGGGCGCAAGCCUGGUGCAGCGACGCCGCGUGAGGGAUGACGGCCUUCGGGUUGUAAACCUCUUUCAGCACCGACGAAGCGCAAGUGACGGUAGGUGCAGAAGAAGGACCGGCCAACUACGUGCCAGCCGCCGCAGUAA